GACGAACGCUGGCGGCGUGCCUAACACAUGCAAGUCGAGCGGGGAUUUAAGUGGAAGUUCUUCGGAAUGGAGAUUUAAAUUCUAGCGGCGGACGGGUGAGUAACGCGUGAACAAUCUGUCCCGGACAGGGGGAUAACACUUGGAAACAGGUGCUAAUACCGCAUAAGACCACGGCCUCGCAUGGGGCUGAGGUAAAAGGAGCAAUCCGGUUCGGGGUGAGUUCGCGUCCGAUUAGCUAGUUGGUGAGGUAACGGCCCACCAAGGCGACGAUCGGUAGCCGGCCUGAGGGGGUGAACGGCCACAUUGGAACUGAGAGACGGUCCAAACUCCUACGGGAGGCAGCAGUGGGGAAUAUUGGGCAAUGGGCGAAAGCCUGACCCAGCAACGCCGCGUGAGGGAAGAAGGUUUUCGGAGUGUAAACCUCUGUCCUAUGGGACGAAGGAAGUGACGGUACCAUAGGAGGAAGCCCCGGCUAACUACGUG
rnacentral:rRNA from 1 species